rnacentral:lncRNA from 1 species
CUCUCUCUCUCUCCAUCCUUAGGUGGCACAUCAACCCUCUCUCCACCUCUUUUUUAUCUCUCUCAUCUUCUCUAGCCUCCCCACUUAGAAAAUAUUUUUGUGAGACAAAAAUAGGGGGCACGCCCCAACCAUAGAAAUCAAGGAGAGGGGCACGCCCAUACCACAAUGCACUGAGGCCUAGUUCUUGUCUCUAAGUUUUACCACUGCUCUCUGAUUUAAUUAAGGGUUGCAACCUAAGGUUUUCCAUACUUUGAAGUUAUGAGAUAGGCCAUUGAUAACAUGCGUCACUGGAGAAGGAAACCCAAAUUGGGGUGUGCAAAGUUCUUAUGACAUCUUGUUCUAUGGUUUGCAGUUUAUGUCUUUCUUGUUCUUGAGAGUCUUAUGCGAUUUUCAUUUAUUGAAUAAAAGAAGUUUUAUUAGUGGCAGCAAGUGAGGACCUCUUUAGUCACUUUUUAUAAUUUUUUUUAGUUGAUUUAAUUGUAUUUAGACAUCUGUAAGUGCUCUAGCC